rnacentral:lncRNA from 1 species
GUAUCAUCAGCAAGUGACAUGCUAGGAGUGACCAUUGUUUGUUUUGUUUUGUUUUGUUUUGUUUUCAGAAGUGUGCACAUGGCACUAAUGGUUCUUCAUACAGGAGUCAAUUAGAUGUCUGUGCUGUCACCUUGCAGAUGGCAUGUGAGAAGCUAUCCUUGCUCAGCUCCUUUCUAUCAAUACCCCAGGUGUCAACUAUUGAUAAACUGCUAUCAAAGCCAAAGUUAGUUGAAAGCUCAUUUCAGCUUUUAAAUCACAGCUCCAGCCACUGUGAUAUUUCUACUGUUUUAGGCAAUUUGCAGUCAGGAGACAACCAUUGACUUCAAAGGAGAUUGUCAUCUUUCAGCCUGUGAAACACUGAAGCCUCAUCUUAGAAUCACAGAAUCUGAGUUGGAAGGGACCCACAAGGAUCAUUGAGUCCAACUCCUGGCUCCACACAGGACCACCCAAAAAUCAGAACACAUGUCUGAGAGUGUUGUCCAAACUCCGUCAGUCUUGGUGCUGUGACCUGUCCCAGUGCCUGACCACUCUCUGAGUGCAGAACCUUUCCCUAACACCCAGCUUGACCCUCCCCUGUCCCAGCUCCAUGGGGACAGACAGCCAACACAGCCAUUCCCUGGUUCCUGUCGCUGUCCCCAGAGAGCAGAGCUCAGCCCCUCUGCUCCCCUCGUGAGGGAGCUGCAGGCCGCCAUGAGGCCUCCCCCUCAGCCUGCUCUGCUCAGGGCUGAACAAACCAAGGGACCUCAGCUGCUCCUCAUACAUCUCGCCCUCUAGGCCCUUCACCAUCUUUGUAUCCCUCCUUUGGACACUCUCCAACAGUUUUAUGUCUUUUUUAUAUCAAGAGGCCCCAAACUGCACACAUUACUUGAGGUGAGGCUGCACCAACACAGAGCAGAGCAGGACAGUCUCUUCCCUUGACCAGCAAGCCUGAUGCACCCCCGGGUAUGGUUGGCCAUUUUGGCUGCCAGGGUACACCAAUGACUCCUGGGCUACUGCAGCAUGUUCAGGUCUUUGGGGAGGCAGCAUCCUUUAUGGUUACUGCUGGAAAAUCAGCAACACGUACAAGGCAUGCAGCUUUCCUUCAGCUUUUCAGGAUGGGGGAGAACCUGGCCAGGUGUGGUGCAGAGACCUUCACCCAGCCCCAGGCUGGAGCAAAGAUGAGCAGAGAGAGAAGGCUUCUUAAAGUUGAGUUAGAGGGUUUUGCAGCUGGUAUUUUCUGGCCACUGCAGCUCACGCACCUGGGCAUGAGCCCACUAUGCAUUUGAAAAGUGUCUCUUCCUUUGGUUUAUGCAUGUGAGGGAUCAUGCCCUUGAUAUUUAUUUUAAUAAUGAGUUCUGGAAUCUUUUUAUUUUGUUCUCUUGUGUUUCUGAACAUUAAACGCCUCAAUUUUAGCUCUGCUGUUUGCAGAGAAAGGUAAACUUCAGUAAAACUGGGAAGUCUCGCGUAAUCACAUGACUCCAGGGGCUGCAGAAUCAAAAAAACACCUGCAAAACACUAUGAUUAAAGUGAGCAAGAGCCAAGUAAUGUUCCUCUCCCUGGGACAAGGAGUGCUGAAUCUGCUCUGAGAACAUGGAGAAUUCUCCUUCCCUUCUGUCCCUUUUAGCCCCCUGACCUCAACCCUGGCUGCAGCUCCCGACCAAGGUAGUGUUGGCUGCAGAUUGCAUUUCCCUGGCAUAAAUAACUCCCUUGCAGCCCCGCUCCAUCCCCAGCAGCCAGCAGGACUGCUGCCACUGAUUAAACCAGCUCUGGGAUUGACACAGCAGAAGGGGCAGGUUUGAAGGCACCAAGUCAACAAAGGAUCUCAGCAGGUGAGUGUCCCCUUCCUGAUCCUCACUUUCAUGUCUGGAAUUACAAAUGGGCUUCUGAGUCUUGCUGAGAUGUAGAUUCAGGCAAUAUCUCACCACAGGAACUACCUCCCGUCUUUCUGACACUUAAUGGCACAAUGAACAUUGUUCACCUCAAAAAGUGCAAAUUUUAUUUGCUAGUUUUGGAGUUAAUGAAAUAGUUUCAGAGAGUUUUUACCCAUAUCAGUACAUUGAAACAUAGCCUCUUGCUGUACAGGUGAUGCAAUUAAAUCUUACACAUAUUCAUAUAUUUUUACGCAUUUAAGUAUCAGCUCUGAAAGCAUUGUGUUUUUGAUUUUUUUUCACCCUCUCUAAUAAAAUCUUGAAAUAUCUACUUCA